AUGAAGCAAGCGACGGCGGGAUGCGACAGCACCUGCUCCUGCGGUGACCAGCCGACCAUUUUGCCGCGGUUCUUCACCCGUUCGGCGAAUCCGGCAGGGUAAGCUUCUUCGAUUUCAUUAUCUCGAUUUGUAUCUUGUCUAACCACCCAUAGGAACGGCCUGUUUGUUGAUUCGAGGCCGAGCGCCAGUUCUUCGAACUGGAUUGCGUCGAAAACGGUGAAGCUCCCGAACGCGACGUAGACGACGGAAUUCGGUGGCUGUUGGUCGAGCCACGCCAGGCAGGUGGAAUCUUCCGGCCAGAAAUGGCCGGCUGAUUUUCCGAGUCGGUGGCUGCUUGGGAGGAGAGGGCCUAUCGGCGAACAAUUGGGGAUGAAAUUGAGCGCCGGCUGCUCCAACUCGGUUGAUGAGUUGCAGAUUAGACGUUGUAUUAGUUUUGAUGAUUCGUUGUUUUGGAUUAUGGACUGGAAAAUAGGUUUUCCCAUGGAUGGAUCUGGGAAGCAUGCCCAUGCGAAGUUCAUGGGGCUCAUCUUAGGCAUCAAUGGAGCCAGCUGAAUCGGCUGGUUCGUCAAGGGUGUUCCUGUUGGAGAAGAUUUCAAAUACAAACUAAUUUCGACUACGCUCCAAAAAAAAAAUCCAAAAAAAUUGGAAAUCGAAAUGAAAAAAAUUAUUCUAAAUUCGAGCGUUUUUCGAAAAUAUUGAAUUACUUUAGGAAGUUAAUGGCGUUUGUUUCGAAAAAACAAAAGACUCACCGUCGGCAUCUACAAUCCCAUCAUCGACGAGUUUCUGUACAUUGAGUGUUAAUGCCAACAACGCCACCGGUGCUGGCAAAAAGGCCGCUCUCUUGAUGCCGAAUUUUUCCACCACAGGCAAUAUUCCCGCCAUAUAGAAGUCCACGAGCACACACGUGAUGAUGUCAUCACUUUCUGUUCUGUUCAUCUCUUGAAUUAGAUUCUCCAGCUCCUUAGGCAUGAUCUUCACUGAAGCUUCAGCUAACUUCCCAUGCUCAUUUCUGUCUUCCCAAGAUUCUAAGCCAUCUGGAAUUGAGACCAAAUUUACGAGUUCGUGUAUGUUACCUGUUAAGUGUAUAUUUAUACACUUAAUUCUAUCUUUUAAUUGGAGCUUUUGAUGUGUUUUUACGAUAAUUGGUGCUUAAUUUGGUUAUUAUUUGUAUUUUAGGUGCAAAUUGAAGAAUUGGCAACUUUUGGGGUGAAAACUGCAAAUUCAGAGAAAAAGUGGGCCAAAAGUGAAAAAAUCAGAAAUCUGGAGAAUUAAAGACCGCACGGCCGUGCGGAUUUUAGUUAAAAAUCUCACACGGCCGUCCGGAUGGGCGUGAUGGCGCAGUGAAGGAAUUUUAAUUACACAAGGAAACCCGCUCUUUUAUAUUUUUGCACCCUAUUUAAAGGCCACAAGCACACAAUUAGGAUUAUCUUUUUUUUUAUCUUUUUACCUUUCAUCUUUAUUUUAGUUUUUAGCUUUUAUCUUUCGACACGCAAUCAAGGAGCAAGAACGAAGACGAAGACUUGACGACUCUUCAUUAUAGUUCUUCUCUUUUAUUGUUUUUAUGAUUUUUCGUAUUUUCAUUAUGUUUUCCGUAACGAACAUGAGUAGCUAAGUUUUUAUUCUAGGAUUUUAUUGGAACCCUAUGUGGUGAUUCGAACCUCUUUUUCGACUUUUAUGCAAGUUUAAUUCUUCGAUUAUUUCCUCUAUCUUGAUCUUAUUUAGUGCAUGAGCGUAGCUAACUUAUGUUGCUAGUUGUUAUUGUUAGAAUUGAUUGACAGAUCGUUUUAAUAAUUAGAACAGGGAUAGGAGAACCUUCGAGUAGUUUUUCACCGAAUGCGUGUGUUAAUUGCAUGUAUUAUCGUAGACAUACAGAUAAUACCUUAGGUAGCCGUUUGCGAGACUUGUUAUUUAAUGCUUUAUUUAUAUUAGGUUUGCAUAGACAUAUAGUGAAUCUUUUAUGAAUAAUAGGUUUAUAGCGCAGCGACAGCUGGUUAUGAAUAAUCUCGUGUCUUGGGUUAAUAAUCGGGAAUCGUAACUUGCAUAAUAGGAGAUUAGUUGGGUGAAGAAUUAUCGCAUAGGGGGAAGAUAAAAUCCUAGAUCCGUUUAUUAUUGACUUUUUCUCGUGAUUACUUGUUUUCUUAAUUAUUUUAAUUUUAUUAGUUAAUUAAUUUGACAACCUUGCGUAGGCUGGAUAAAAAUCACAAUUGUUAGGAUUUGGUACUUAGGAUUAAAUAAUUUGCGUAUUCCCUGUGGGAUCGACAUCCGACUCUCACGAGUCUACUUUACUACUUGUUUGCGAUACGUACACUUGCGUGUUGGUAUUUAGCACCCAACAUUACCUGUCUGAGAAAGUGCCUUUGUAACUCGCUGGUGAUUGAAUUCGGUGUUGACAAAUGUGACUUUGAGACCGUUUUCUGCCAAGUAUUGGGCAACCUUCAUCAUGGGAAUUACAUGUCCUUGUGCUGGAUACGGUAUAGCCACUACAUGUGGUUUUCUUUCCAUUUUUUUCUUUACUAGAUCAGAUUCUAUUGUGACUUCAUCAACACCUGUUUAAUGCCUGCAUUUUAUAGGUGGAGAGGAUGAUGAAAACCAUGAUUUAAAAAAGCAAGUUUAUUUUUGCCAUUUUCUGCUAUUAAUUUGUCAUACCAAUGUUGCAAUGCAAGCCGUCUUAGCUUUUGUCAUUUAUAUCUUCAAUUUUAUCUCUUGUCUGCUUCUUGCUUGUUCUUGGCAAUGAUUAAGACUUUAUUACACUUAUUUAUGUUUCUUUAAUUUUUUAAUCAUCUCAUAGAUCUUUGCACACUUUUUUGUUAUACAACAACUUUGUGCCGUCUUGAUGUAGUUGUGCAAGCAUCUGACACGAGUUUCGAUUUUGGCAGCAUUCAAUUGUAUGCAUCAUUCUUUCUGAUAAAAGAGCCGGCCAAUAUAAUUCUCUUAAGGCCGGGAUCCAGAGAAAGUGGAAGAAGAUAUGCUCAGACCAGGUCAACUUAUACCUCUCCCUGUAGAUUUAUAUAUUUUCUCUACUUCAUAGAUGAUUACAACGAGUCGUUUUGAAUGCUUGCCCCGGAUAUUACAGGGGCAAUUGGUUUAUAUGACGAUUUAAUUUUUUUCAUCGAUGUCAUUUUUGUAGUACAAGAGAAUGAAAUAAUUUUUUAAUUGUAUACCAAUUGUUUUUAGUUUAACAAGAAAAUGGUUAAUGUUAAACAGAAAAAACAGAACGUUCAUAACGAGCAAUACAGUGAGAUACAGUUUCCCCUAUGAGACAACAUAUUGGUCUUGAAACCACACCGGGUGUUUCUCAGGAAAAAAUAAACAAAAGAAAAAACAUUGGUCCUGGAAAUCUUAAAAUGAAAUUUGAUUGAUAUCUGAUAACUGCAAUCUUGAUAAUUAAUACUAACUUUAGGUUUCCUUGAUCCAAGCUACGAAAUUAUUGAAAUUCUUCUGUGAACAACCUCCUUUUGUGACACUAGACACGGCCUUCGAUUGAAGAUUCGAGGCUCUAUCCUUGUAGCUUUUAUCAGUCAGGAGAAGCUCCACCUUCUUCCUAAUCUCUUCAUGUACAAUGAUUCCAUUUUCAUCUUUAUCCAAACUUAGCCCAAUCUUCCAAUAUUCACAAAUGUAGCUCUGGUUGAGAAACUGGUCUGCAAAGUAGGGCCAGCACAGGAAAGGGAGUCCGUUGCUUAUACCCUCGACUGUUGAAUUCCAUCCGCAAUGGCUCAGAAAACAAGCAACAGAAGGGUGAGAUAACACCUUCUGUUGAGGUGCCCAAUUCACCACUUUCCCCCGAUGCUUCACUCUUUCUUUGAAUCCUUUCGGAUAAGCCUUAUCGUUGUCCAGAGUCAUAUCUUGUCUUACAACCCAUAGAAACGGCCUUUGGGUAAGUUCGAGCCCCGUAGCCAGUUCUUGAAAUUGUGUUUGAUCAAAAACUGUGAAGCUCCCAAACGCAACAUAUAUGGUGGAGUUGGGCGGCUGUUGAUCGAGCCAUGCCAGGCUGGCGGAAUCUUCCAGCCAGAAAUAUCCAGCUGAUUUUCCGAGACGGUUGCUGGCGAGAAGAGGGCCUACUGGCACGCAAUUAGGAACCACUGCGAGUGCCCCACGCUCCAAUUCAUGAGAUGAAUUGCAAAUUACCCAAUCUGCCAGUUUAGCCAAUUCGAUGUUCUUUAAUAUCGAAUUAAAUAUAAUUUUCUGCGCAGUGAAAUCGCCGAUGCACAUCCAUGCAAAGCCUAGUGUACUCAUCGCAGGCAUGUCUGGUGAAAGCUGAAUCACCUGUUGCUUCACAGGUGUUCCUGGAUGGACAUGUUUAUUACAUAUAAAAUAACAAGAAAAUCUUGUACUGGUUAAUUAAACUAGUACCAUAAAAGCUUUCAUAUAUAGUUAUUUUGUGUUGCAAUGUAUUUGGGGAAUGGAGAACAGGUAAAAGACUCACCAUUACUGUCGAUGAUUCCUUCAUCGACCAGUUUCAGGACAUUGAUUGCCAAAGCCAACAGUCCAACAGAUGCUGGCACGAAGGCCGCUCUCUUGAUUCCGAGUUUGUUUGCCAAAUCUAAUGCCCA
rnacentral:lncRNA from 1 species